AGAAGAAUCGGGAAUGGGAUGAUUAAACUCAGAGGAAUUGUUCCCUGACUGCUACACCAUAACUCGGUCUCCCCCGACCUCUGAUAUCUAAAAACGUGGGGUGGGAGGAAAGGGGCACUUCUUGCUGUUGCGGACAAUCUGGUUGGAACGUACAGGUAAAACAAAGUUGACUGCGCGGACUGACGGGCUUUUUCGCUUUCAGACCCGCGAGGUCUUCUUUUCAGUUUAACUCUAGAAUUGAAGCUCACUAACCAGAAGCCAAAGCGCGAAAUGAUCUUCCAGUAGUCUGAAGUUUGUUAGGUUUUUAUAUACUCUCCAAUUCCUCUCAUUGCUGGUCUCCUGCCCUUUGUUUUUAAGCACACUUGUGCAACAGGCUGUGGUGUUUUGAUAAUUACAAGGACAAGUCUCCCUGCCUCUCUGGAGAUUUUUUUUUUUUUUAAUGCAUUUAUGUAAGGGCGCGAGUAGGGAGGAAUUUAUUACAGAACAGUGAAAAACCUAUUUCACGUCACCAGGCGUUGAUAUCUAAUAAUUUUCUCUCGGAAAACUACUUGGAGAGAGAAGACUGUUGGGUGCAACUAGCCGGUAAUCUUUUUCAAUAAUUCUUACAUGUUCCCAUCAUCUCCGACAGUCUCCCAAAGACAAAGUCACAGGAAGGCUACGAAGAACCGCUGCGCUUCCCCCAAAGCUUCUAAAUAGCUAUUUCUUAUCUAAUGGGACUGCCAGUUUUAUCUAAAAAGGCCUACAGACACAAACCAUAGAAGGCUUAAUUUCGGUGUUUUGUUGCUGUGAGAAGAUCUGGUGUAUUAGGAAACUCCUUUCUUUGUAUCUUUCCCAAGAUCUAACCCUUGAUAAGAGCUGUAAGCCCUGGCCGACUGCAGUGGCUGGGCUUGAACAACGGGUAAAGCCUCUCCAAAGCGGAAAGGGAAUCUAAGAUGCCUGAGUUUCCCCAUGACCUAGCUGAGGCUUUUCCCCCCAGGAACCCGUUUUGUUUCGGUUUUUUCUCAAGGAAGAUUUCAAAUUGGAUCUCGUCCCUUCCAUUUCAUUAUAAAUUAUUUUGGAGCGCGUGUAUGAAAGUGAAAGUUGGAUAGGAUAGACCUAGGUUGAUAAGUUUCCCGGUUGUGUAGGUUUUUCUUUUUCUUUUCCUUAUUUUUUCUUUGAUCUGUUUCUAAAGUCUCUGGUAUUAUAUGUAUGGAGCCUUUUGUCAAGCUGCUUUUGCAAAGCUGAUGCUGAUGAUCUCAACACGAAGCAAAUCUUCCCAGUAUUUGGGCGUGUUUCCCAUGUAGAUAAACAUGUUGACCGUAGUAAAAAAAGAUACCACCACAAUGCCAGAAAAUACAGUUUUACCCAGUCAUAUUCCAUCAUGCCACGUUUAUAAGAUAGAAUUAAACACCAGAAGCUAUCAGAAGCCUGACGACUUAUAUUUGAGAGCCACAAAGCACCCUCACUAUCCAUCCUCCUUCAAACCAGCCCCCACCUCCCACACAAAGUGUGGUAUUUUAACUCCCUAAACCAAUAAGCUAUUACAAAGAAUUACUGCAGAUGAUAGCAAUUCCAAGUAGAAAAGCUGGCACGUAGCUUGGGGGGAACCUUUAGUAAUGGGCAAUUUCACCUUAAUGGUAGACAACAUUUUCCUCUUUUCAUUCUGCACCGUGGUUGUAAACAAGUUCCUAAACUGAUAGAAGCAAGAUCCAUGGAGAAGAUAUCCGCAUUAAGAGAUGUUUUGGGGACCCCACCAGGAUGGACGUGCUCUGAAGUUCUAUGCAUGUACCAAUGACACAUUUUGCAUUAAAAUCCAAGUUAGAAUAGCAGGCUUUGUAGUUUUACUUCACCUGGAAGUUCUAAAUCGAUCACAGAUUAUUCUCAUUUCCUCAGAGCUGAUUGCUGUCUGUGAAUUUAGUACAUCAAAUAUAUCUGUAAAAUUUUGUUUUUUAGAGAAUAUGUAAAACUGCAAUUAGCAAUGUUUCCUGAGUACUUGAUCACAGGAGCGACCUCUUGUGUUCAGAGGGGGAUCAGACCCUCUUCUUUAAAAAAUUGACUCGUUUUGACCUUUGUAUAUUGUUAGGUCAAAACUAUAUCCUUGAAAACAGCAACAGUGUGAAUCCCUGGUUUGAGCUCCUGUCCUGAGAAAAAGAGGAAUAUGAGUUAUCAAGUAUAGUCCCCAUCACUUCCAGGGUGCCUCAGUAUAUCUGACAGUGUCUUUCAAUAUAAAAGGGAUACUGAAAUUUAAGUUCCUCUGGAGUCUGUGGCAUCUGCCCAUGUGCACUUGUAUACACUUUCCAAAACGUGGCUGUUAUACCCAACUUCCUGGUGGACUUUAAACCUGUCUUUUUGUGUACUGUUGUUUUCUCUGCUUUAAUUGAAAUUUAAGCAUUCCACAUCAAACUUAAUGUUAAGAGAUUCCCGAACAAACAUCUUGCUCUCAAUCUACAUUUCAAAAAUCUAAAUAGGUUUUAAUUGCAAUUGAAAGGUAAAAUUAAACAUAUAGCAUUUAUUUAUCUCCCAAAAACCUCUGGCAGAUAUAAAUGAAUUUCAAGUUGGUUAUUUGGGGAAUCACAAACAGGAAGACAGCUUAUUCCUUCUCAUCUAACCAAGACUGGGAAGGGAAGAGGAGCUUCGAUCAACUUUCCAAUGUAGAUACAGAUUUGGGAAUUUAUUCCCAGGGAGAUGAUGCUGUAUGUUUAGCUCCUAUCAGAAUCAGAUUUGAAAGAGUAGAAUAACAGUUACACUCUGCCAGUUUCACUGAGUAAGGUAUUCAGAUGAAAAAACAUAUAUAACUGAAGGAUUUAUGUUAUGUCCACAAUCAUAUAAUUUGAGGGCUCAAAUGAAACAGGAACAUUUUAUUUACCUCUGAAAAUUGAUAUUGAGUAGAUGUGUAUGUAUCCCCUUUCUCCUGUUAGGUUUUAUCUUUUCUGUGUAGCCUACAUGUAGAAUAAGGCUAUACAAACCCUCAGUAUCUUUAGUCAUGUCCAAGGGUCAGAUAAAAUUAUGUGCGUUUAAAGGGAGUUACGAUUAAACGUUUAUAUUCCACCGGGAAGGGGGUGUGGGUGUUUAGAACCAAUUUGCCUCUCUUCCCGUUGAUGGUGGUGGCUUACUGAGGAACAAUUAAGAGAAUCUGUGCUCUAAUUUCAGAGAAAAAGAGGAGAUACCACUGGGUAUGAAAUGAUUUUCUUUCUUUCCUUCUUUAACUUAAAAAAAAUAUUAAGCAAUCAUCAGAAAGGCAGUUGUUAACAACAACAACAAACCUUUAGUUGUGGUUCUUAUUCUGAUGCCUAGGACUCCUGCUGCGAUUGUGGUGUCGUUGAGUGUCAAUUGCUUUAUUAACUACUUAAACAGUCUGGGUGAAUUAGCAAGAAUUUUCUCUGCUCGCAGAGCUUCCUAGCCUUACUUCCUUAGUUCAGGUAGUUGUUUCAGACAACAGUGUUUCUGGUAUUUCUUGGCAGACGAAAGCCCAGAAGGCACCGUUCUUGUGCGGUCUGUUGCUCGGUUCUCAGCCGAGAUAGAAUUUCAUGCUCCCAGCAGCCGGGCAGCUGCGAAGCCACAAACCUCAGUUCAGUCCUGAACUACGUGCGACGGUCCGCAGCUGAUUGCAGGGAGGAGUUCGGCCAAGCGAGGACAGAAAUUUGCAAUCCUCGCUUUAAAAUUGUGCUUCUGAAAGUGUUUACUAUGACUUAUCAAAAGCGGCUGGCAAUGUCAAGUGAAACCUUUUUCUUGCUUCUCCCUGCCCCCUAGAACUCCUAAAUGACCAGGAACAGACUAUUUUUAACCCGAGUUCUGCUAUGUGGAGCCCAGGUUGGUACUAGUGAGUGCAGUGUGCUGACCCAAGUGGUGCUGGCCCAAGGAUGCGCUGACCGGUACAUUUGGCAAAGCCUCAUUAAAUGUAUCAGAUUCUCGCGGAAGUGGUUGCAGUCCGGAGAGGUGAAACAGCUAUCUCCCAAGUCCUGAGCGGUUCAGCUGAAAUCUACAUUUGCAUUGAAUCUAGCAAAACACCCACGGGUCCGCCCAAGAUCUUGGGAAACCCGGAACGAGUUACCUCCAUCUAGUUGAUCAGUCUGAAAGGCUGGACAGCCUUUCCGCCACUGCAGUCCUGUCCAACGGGCAGCUGUGAAUUUAGCUUUCGCGCCAAAGGGUUGAUUUUCCCCACCCGCUGGAGGUUUACUGGGGACGAGCGGGGGAUGGGAGGCGAAGGUACCUUGGAGGAGGUCAAGUGGGGGAGGAGGAGGAGCAGCAGAAAAUUACCAGCCAAGCGGGGGAGGGAGUUGGAAGCCCGGAAAUCUACCAAGAUGCCUCAAGUAACCUUCCUAUAAGUCUCAAAAUUCAGCGCUUGAAUAACAGCCUCCUAAGGUGUCCUGGAAAGGAGUCCUCGGGUGGGCUGCGGAGGUGAUGUCAAGAGUUACAGCUACUUUAUGAAUUAAACUGACGGCUAAGGCACGUCGGGACACUUUAGUGUAAACUGAAUGGUGUAUGGAUGGGGGCUACUUUUAAAGGGAGGUGGGCAGUCAUUGGUGGCAUUUAACAGUAUAUUCUGCGUGUAAUAGUAGUUUGAAAGCUGAAGAAAACCCCCCAAAUCCCAGUAAAUGCCCAGUACGUUUGAGAAUGAUUUUAAGGACAGUUUUGAAGGUCGCUGUCUGUUCCGACUCCACUUAGGUGAACCAGCGUGUGAACUCCAGCGAGGGUGUGUUUAGAUGUAUCUAUGACUUCAGAUCCAUGCUAUUUAAACUCAUCAAUUCUUUGUGACUUCAUGUUGAGAGAAGAAUUUGCCCUGCCUCUCUAUCUGCUAAAUGCCAACUGAGGAGAAAAAAGGGGCCCAGGAGACGAUCCCUUUCAGAAAGAACGUCACUUGAUCAACUCGACUGAGUUAUUAACUUGCUCUCCGAAAGGUCAACAGCGCCUUCCCUUCCCAGCCGCACGGCGCGGAGAUCAAUCGCUCUACCCAGAAAAAUUGAGCCGAAUCUACGCCCCUUGUCCUGACUCCUGCCAGAGGAAAGAAGAAAAUCAUCCGACAGGUCUCUUUCAGCUCCUGGAUGGCGAGCACAGCUCCCGGGAGCUACACUUAGUUCCUUACUGUGAAUCGCUUGUUACCCUCCGUUUGGGAUUCAGGACCAAGGCCCCAAUGGCCUCGGUUACCCAAAGGGACGCCAAAGAAAAUGUGAAUCCAAACGUUGGCUAGAGGAUAGUGAUCAGAAAACCAGUGAUUACUAAACAAGGGGCAGGCGUGUCCCUGCCUCAUGGGAGUUGCGGGGAGGCCGUAGGCUGCAAGACCCUUCAGCCUCCUGGAUGCAAAAAGUGAAAAAGAAAGCGCAGCCUCCGGCAGCCUGCUCCUCAAGGCAACCUUUUGGAAGACUAAACUUGUAUUCUUAGGUUGUCCUCCUUUAAGUCCAUGUUCCAAUCCUCUGGGCUUUCCGUGAAAUAAAUAAAAUUGUGGAAAUGAAUGAAUCAGAGUAUCACUUCAAUUGUUUCAAACUCAUUGUCAAGUCACCUUUUCUGUCAUCUGCCAGAAGUUCAAUUUGUGCUUAGUGUCUACAUUUCAGAAAAUUAUAAGGACGUUUCCUUUGCAUCUGUCUGCCUUGCUUGCUGGCAGCGUGCAGAAAUAAUAACUGCAGUUGUUGGUACAGAGUAUUUUCAUGACUAGCUUAGUUCUAAAUGGCACCCCAAAAUAUAGAUAACCAAAUUCUUAUUUGGCAUUUUUCAGGUUUAUUCACUUUGUGUUGCAAAUGCUUGAAUUAGAAAACGAGAGAACUCCCGCAGCAAAGAUGUACUUCUGUGCUCUCUUGUUAGGCACAGAACACACACUGGGUGAUUAGCCAGAGGGGCGGGCUCCUUUGUUGAUUUAAGAGUUCACCAGGCAAGAUGGAACAAUUAUCUUGUUGCCUCUUCUUAGCCGUCUAUUGUUGUCUUAUUUCUGGUAUGCUUCCAUUGUACAAAAUUCGGUCCAAAAAUGAAGAAUAAAUCGUAAGAUAAAAAGGUAAUAAUGAUAAUAGGUCUAUUUUAAUUUUACCUGGCUUUGUUAAUAGGUAGUCUGUACCUGACACUCAUAUACAUAAAAGAUGUCGAAAGUGUAUAGCAUAUCAUUUAUGUAUAAUUAUAUAUGUUAUAAUUAUAUGCUAAUGAUGCCACCGUUUAACAUUACAAGAUAAUUCUAUAAAAAACUUGAAGUUCUAUUUUUGAUACAUAUAACACCCUCUUUACAAGAAAAUAAUUGUCAGACUUUAAAAUGAUAUUCGAGGGUGCUUUUAUCAAGAGAACAAAAUCUGAAACUUCAUGAACUAAAAUUCUAUCAACCAAGAUGGUGCAUAAGUAGGUUGUUUUGGGUUAAGGAUAAUGUGAAAUACUCUUAGUUUUUGUAACUUUGUGUACACAAAAUACACAUCUUAAAGUUGUGCAUUUGAAUGUGCAUUUUACCACUUAUUCUGAAAUCUUAAGUCACACCAUUUCAGCAGGAAAUAAAACCUGAAUAAGUCCUAGGUAAUGUGUAAGGAAUAACUAUGAUUGAACUUUUGUAGCUUAACAAUGUUGUGGUAAUCUUUAAAUGUGAAUAUUAACAUAUUGAAAUUAAGUAGAUCAUUUUAUCACCUAAUUUAUAAUAAAAAGUAAAAGCAAGUAUAACAAACUGCUUUACUUUCUAUAAUGUCUAUUUAAGGAUCUAUUACCAAAAUAUAGUAAUAAUAGGAUUCAUAUAUGUGUAACAAAUAUGUAGCUGUCACUCUGUUAUUGGAGAGUUCAGUCUAGUUAUAAAUGCAUUGUACUGUCAUGUGAUAUGUGCCAUCACUUGAAUAUUGCUAAAUUAAUGCUAUGCUAUAUUUUAAGAAUCUCCCUCUUCUUUCCAGAUACAUGUACUAGCCCAGGAAGAUCCCUGCAUCUUUAAUAGAAAUAGUAAAUUAGAAACUAUGUCAUUAUCCAUAAAUAGAAUCUUUCUGACUUGCACUUAAAUAUCAGGACCCAAAUUAUUGUAUGUCUCACUUCAGAAUGUGUCACAAUGUGCUAUUUUAUCUUCUUGGCCCAGUCUUUGGAUUUACUCUAUACUCUUCAUUUUAUAAGCUGCACAAACCAUUGGUGAUAAUGAGAACCACUCUAUAUAGUUUCACUGACUUUGGAUUCUCAUACAAUGUAUAAAAAUGUAUAAAUCAUAGUCUUUAGGUCUUGAUGAUGUGCUUCUUCCAAUUCUGAAGUGUUAGUAUAGCUGUCCAUAAUGUCACGUGAUGUGUCUCCUCAUUGUCCUGUACCUGAGCCAUAGCAGAUCUGAUGUCACUUGGAUAUGCCAUGUGAGGGUAAACAUUUUCUUUUGGGUUAUGCCGUCAAUGAGGAAGAAACAUGAGUAGAGCUCUCAAAGCAGAAAAAUAUAAGUGGAUAGAAAAAAAAAUCACACUUUUGAGUAUAGUAUUGGAGAAAGAAUUGAGUGUGGGUGACUUUAUCAGCCAUCAGAACAAAGAGUGAUAGUAGGUGCUUGACUAAGAUGAGAAAAGUAUUCAAUUAUGAAAACAGAAAGAGAAGGCUUAUUUAGGAAAAGAACAUACCGGGUAAAUGUCAAGAGGAACAAAAAGAAAUGGGGUAUGGUGCCCCAUUUCAUCCUGAUAGAAUAGGCAGUCAAGGGCAAAACCCAGAUCGGAAACAGGAAAUGGGUGGAAGUAGGGAACAGUAGAUUCAUAAUUAUUUGAACUUGGCAUUUAAAACUUUAAAAUCUGAUUUUAGGGUUUUAUUUAUGGCAGAAAAGCAGCUUAUUUGGCAAUAAUUUUAAAAACUUUUGUUGCAUCUUUAGUCAUAUUAGAAUGUUCACCUUUGUAAACUACUCACUAGCAGUAAACUGUCAGCACAGAAAAUACAAACUGAAAGUACUAGAAAUAUCAUAAUAUGGAUUUCUCUUUUUAAUUAGUUAGGUUUAUCUAAUGAUAAGAUUCAGGAUUCAGAAAGGAAAAAAGACCAGAUCUGAGAAGGAAUUUUUAAAAAUGGCUUUAAAGUUUUCCAGAGUUUUGUUAGCUGUUGCCCUUUCUGCAGACUUGGUUAUAUCAAAAAGUAUAACUCAAAUAUUUGCACUACUCAAACCACAAUAAAAAGGGAAAGAUGUUGUGAAAACACUGCCUCAUGCUCAAAUUUAUGCAAAACAACUUGAAAGGCUGCCAGCAACACUGUUGUUAUGUUAGCAAUUCUGACCUGGCUUCACAUUCUCCUAGAUGAGUUCUUCUGAUGUGAGAAGAAUGUAAAUCCAAACCACAAGGGAGUAUUCUUUGCACCUAUGCACUUGGGAAGAGUUUGGGUGCCCAAAAUGUGAGAAAAGUUAGAUACAGUUCUUCUCUUAGAAUCUAUUCUGGAGGUCACAAGGUCAGAAUGCCUGCACAUGUGCAUAAACCAACAUGCCCAUAAAAGCCUGAUAGGAGGCAGCAGUGCCCCAUAAAAGGUCACACCCAGCCACAAUCCAGCAACAUUUGAACAGCGUCUGUUAUGGAGAAGAAAUAUGAGACUGACAGCAGCAACAGCAGCAGCAGCAGAGAAAGAUGGAUUGGGGAUUAAUCAUGGUAAGAUACUGAGCAAAAGAGACAACAAAUUCUGCCAAGCAUGAAUUAUUCUCUACUCACAAGUUUCACAAAAUACACUCUUCAAAGUACAAGCUGGUUGGCCAAGGUCAGGUUGAUCUUUGCUAGGCUGAAAGAAGCAGCUGCUGAGUGUUUCCCAUGGCAGUUGGAGAACACCUAAGGAUUUUUCACUGUUUUUGUUUUUUUUAAAGAAUGUGUGUUUCAACAGUAGAAAUACUCCUGAAAACACAUGUCAUUAAAAUUGCAUUCCCCAUCAGUGCUCAUGACAUUCACUUUGGGGUAAUACUGUUUUAAAAAUAUUAUUGGUAGCUAUUAGCCUGUGGCUUUGCAGGACCUUACUUUUAAUAUAUUCCCCCUUGUCUUUCUAGUUUUAACAUUUUGCCUCAUUUCAUAAUCUCCCCUCAUUGAGAUCAUUUGCAUAAGCAAAAUAUGUCACAUGACAGUCUUUGGAAGACUGAAUAGGCACCACUGAAUUGUGCAGUUUAGAGGGAUCUAGGCAAGGCCACCCAGACUGAAAUAGUAGCCCCUCUAUAUCUGUCAAAGUACCUCAGAUAACUCUAAGAAAGAUUUACUACUUUGACAAUCAUGAAGACUGUAGUUUUCAGGAGGUUUUGGAUAUUUUCGUUGGUUGGUUUUUAACUCUAAUGCCAAAGCUGUCUGUAGCUGUUUUUUUCUGAUACUUUGCCCAUUUGCACCAUUAUGAAGACUUCUAUAAUAAGCAUGUCAAUAAGAAAGAAGAAGUUGAAAAGGAAACAAAAGAUGAUAGACCUAAAAAUAAGUGAUAACAUGAUGCAAUACUACUCGGCAAUUAAAAGGAAAGAACUAUUGAUAUAUACUUUAAUAUGGGUGAGUUUCAAAAUAAUAUGCUGAGUAAAAGAAGCCAGAACAAAAAAUGGACACACUAUACUUCCACUUACCCGAAACUCUAGGAUAUACAAAUUAAUGUGUGACAAACUGAUCGUGACAGACAUCAGAUCAGUGGUGGCUUUGGGAUGGAGUAGGUGAAGGGUAAAUAUGAAAGGUAGAGAUUAAAAAGGGACUGGAAGAAAUUUUUUCAAGCGAUAUAUUCCUUAUUUUGAUUGUGGUGAUAGUUUAACAGGAGUAUGCAUAUAACAAAGCUUACCAAAUUACAUAUUGUAAAUAUGGGCAGUUUAUUAUAUAUCAAUGUCAAUAAAGCUAUUAAAAUAGAAAAGAAA